rnacentral:rRNA from 1 species
UGAGGAAUAUUUCACAAUGAGCGCAAGCUUGAUGGAGCAAUGCCGCGUGCAGGAUGAAGGCCCUCGGGUUGUAAACUGCUUUUAUAAGCGAAGACUAUGACGGUAACUUAUGAAUAAGGGACGGCUAACUACGUGCCAGCAGCCGCGGUCAUACGUAGGUCCCAAGCGUUAUCCGGAGUGACUGGGCGUAAAGAGUUGCGUAGGCGGUCAGGUAAGCGAGUGAUGAAAACUAUCGGCUCAACCGAUAGAUUGUUAUUCGAACUAUCUGACUCGAGAGUAUCAGAGGUUGCUGGAAUUCCUAGUGUAGCAGUGAAAUGCGUAGAUAUUAGGAAGAACACCGAUGGCGUAGGCAGGCAACUGGGGUAUUUCUGACGCUAAGGCACGAAAGCGUGGGUAGCAA